UUGUUUCUGGGUUAGUGGAACCGAGCUCGGAUCCAUACGGAUCCGAGGUACUGUAGCAAUCCGGCCUGAAUUUGGCCGGAUUCCUGGCCGGAUUCCUGGCCGGAUUGUGGUCAGAAAAGGCUGCUCUGUACGCGUAAAACUCAAUUUCACCUCCACCAACUCACAUGUGAUGCUAGACAUGUGAGAGACAUUACCAGCUGUAAGGAGAAAGUGUAAAGCUUCAUUCCUUGACCAUUUUCAUCAUUAAAUAGCCAAAUUCAUUGCAAGAUUGAGGGAGAGAGAGACAUACGGGAGAAGCUUGGAGUGCAGAGAUGUAGCUCUUGCAUUUUCUGAGUAGUAGCAGUAGGUUAGUAUAGAGUAGAGUGUUAUCC
rnacentral:lncRNA from 1 species